rnacentral:rRNA from 1 species
GACGAACGCUGGCGGCGUGCUUAACACAUGCAAGUCGAACGGAAAGGCACUGCGUUUGUGGGGUGCUCGAGUGGCGAACGGGGGAGUAACAGGUGAGUAACCUGCCCUUGACUUUGGGAUAACUUAAGGAAACUGGGGCUAAUACCGGAUAGGAGCUCCUGCUGCAUGGUGGGGGGUGGAAAGUUUCGGCGGGUGUGGAUGGACGGGCGGCUGAUCAGCUUGUUGGUGGGGGAGGGGUUUACCAAGGCAGUGACGGGUAGCCGGCAUGAGAGGGUGGCCGGGCACCUUGCUCCUGCGGUACGCACCAGUCUCCUACGGUGGGCAGCAGUGGGGAAUCUUGCACAAUGGUCGGAAGCCUGAUGCAGCAACGCCGCGUGCGUGAUGCCGGCCUGCGGGUUGUAAACCGCUUUCGCCUGUGACGAAGCGUGUGUGACGGUAAUGGGUAAAGAAGCACCGGCUAACUACGUG